rnacentral:rRNA from 1 species
UACGGAGGUGGCAAGCGUUGCUCGGAAUCACUGGGCGUAAAGGGCGCGUAGGCGGGGAGGUAAGUCGGGUGUGAAAUCCCUCGGCCCAACCGAGGAACUGCGCCCGAGACUGCUUCUCUUGAGUCCCGGAGAGGAAGAUGGAAUUCCCGGUGUAGCGGUGAAAUGUGUAGAGAUCGGGAGGAACACCGGUGGCGAAGGCGGGUCACUGGGCAUCUCCUGACGCUGAGGCGCGAAAGCGUGGGAGCAACGGG